ACUUUUAUAAGUUUCGGUUAUUUUUAAAAUUUGUUGUUUAGAAAAAUUAACAGAUUGUUAUUGGACUGGGGCGGUAGAUAUAAAUAAUUAACUGUAUUUUGAAAUUAUAUACAUUUAUGUAGACAAAUUGACCCUUUAGUAGAGAUUAUAAGAUAAAGUU
rnacentral:rRNA from 1 species